GUAUCAGAAGUGCGAAUGCUGACAUAAGUAACGAUAAAGCGGGUGAAAAGCCCGCUCGCCGGAAGACCAAGGGUUCCUGUCCAACGUUAAUCGGGGCAGGGUGAGUCGACCCCUAAGGCGAGGCCGAAAGGCGUAGUCGAUGGGAAACGGGUUAAUAUUCCCGUACUUGGUGUUACUGCGAAGGGGGGACGGAGAAGGCUAUGUUGGCCGGGCGACGGUUGUCCCGGUUUAAGCGUGUAGGUGUGUGUUCCAGGUAAAUCCGGUUCACUUUAACACUGAGGCGUGACGACGAGGCACUACGGUGCUGAAGCAACAAAUGCCCUGCUUCCAGGAAAAGCCUCUAAGCAUCAGGUAACAUCAAAUCGUACCCCAAACCGACACAGGUGGUCAGGUAGAGAAUACCAAGGCGCUUGAGAGAACUCGGGUGAAGGAACUAGGCAAAAUGGUGCCGUAACUUCGGGAGAAGGCACGCUGACACGUAGGUGAAGUGAUUUACUCAUGGAGCUGAAGUCAGUCGAAGAUACCAGCUGGCUGCAACUGUUUAUUAAAAACACAGCACUGUGCAAACACGAAAGUGGACGUAUACGGUGUGACGCCUGCCCGGUGCCGGAAGGUUAAUUGAUGGGGUCAGCGCAAGCGAAGCUCCUGAUCGAAGCCCCGGUAAACGGCGGCCGUAACUAUAACGGUCCUAAGGUAGCGAAAUUCCUUGUCGGGUAAGUUCCGACCUGCACGAAUGGCGUAAUGAUGGCCAGGCUGUCUCCACCCGAGACUCAGUGAAAUUGAACUCGCUGUGAAGAUGCAGUGUACCCGCGGCAAGACGGAAAGACCCCGUGAACCUUUACUAUAGCUUGACACUGAACAUUGAGCCUUGAUGUGUAGGAUAGGUGGGAGGCUUUGAAGCGUGGACGCCAGUCUGCGUGGAGCCGACCUUGAAAUACCACCCUUUAAUGUUUGAUGUUCUAACGUGGACCCGUGAUCCGGGUUGCGGACAGUGUCUGGUGGGUAGUUUGACUGGGGCGGUCUCCUCCUAAAGAGUAACGGAGGAGCACGAAGGUUGGCUAAUCCUGGUCGGACAUCAGGAGGUUAGUGCAAUGGCAUAAGCCAGCUUGACUGCGAGCGUGACGGCGCGAGCAGGUGCGAAAGCAGGUCAUAGUGAUCCGGUGGUUCUGAAUGGAAGGGCCAUCGCUCAACGGAUAAAAGGUACUCCGGGGAUAACAGGCUGAUACCGCCCAAGAGUUCAUAUCGACGGCGGUGUUUGGCACCUCGAUGUCGGCUCAUCACAUCCUGGGGCUGAAGUAGGUCCCAAGGGUAUGGCUGUUCGCCAUUUAAAGUGGUACGCGAGCUGGGUUUAGAACGUCGUGAGACAGUUCGGUCCCUAUCUGCCGUGGGCGCUGGAGAACUGAGGGGGGCUGCUCCUAGUACGAGAGGACCGGAGUGGACGCAUCACUGGUGUUCGGGUUGUCAUGCCAAUGGCACUGCCCGGUAGCUAAAUGCGGAAGAGAUAAGUGCUGAAAGCAUCUAAGCACGAAACUUGCCCCGAG
rnacentral:rRNA from 1 species